GUACAGAUGUUUUUUCAACUGUCCCUAAUUCAAAGCCAUUGUCAGACCUCUUCUUAUGUGAAGGGCUGAUGAAAAUGAAGCAAAAGCUACAGUUCUAUGUUAACCAUAUGCGUCACGGCACACAUGAAAACUCCGCAGCUGUCUUCAGUGCUGAACAUUCUGUCGUAGAUUGCUGCUGUAUUUAAAGAAGGAGGUAGGUGAAAGGAAGCAGGCUCACUGUAUUAUCAUCCCGAUGUAGGGAAUUCUAGAAGUACAGUUUCAGAAUUGUUACCAUUACAAAACCAAGUUGAAAGAAACCUGAAAUAUCUUCCAGGGAACAGAAUUUCCUUAUAUUAGUCCUUUGCCUGAGAUCUUCAAGCUCUUGAGCUUGGAGAGUUUUCUGGCAAGGACAUUACUUUGUACUUAGGCUGAUUUCAGUGCAAUGUGGAGAAGCUGCGGAAUGCAACGUAUCUGUGAGUAUCAGUGCUUAUAUAAGAGGAUGUAUAGGAAGCAGGUACUUGCAGCAUUAGUACCUAAUGUUUAGACUCUGGAGGUGAUGUUAUUGCUAUUACCUGAAACACCACACACUUCCCUGUCCAUACACAAAAGAUUGCAAUGUUUUUAUACCUUUUAAUAGUGAGGAAUCAUCCAUUUAUUUUAUGUAAAUGCUUGUAACAUGCCAGUGCAGAGUCCUGGGAAAAUGUUAAAAAAGGAUUGACUCUUGUCUCUGUCAAGCAGUAGUAAACUGUUUCGGAUAGGCAAUAGCAGGAUUUAAAAGCAAAGACUUCCAUUUAUCUGAACUGACAAAACUUCUGUCAAAGUCCAGGGUGAAGCCAGACACAAACCUAACCUGAGCAGGAGAAAGCGUUUACUUGUAAUGACUCUGAUUAUUGGAGUACAUUGCAAUGUCCUACCUCAACACCCCAGGCUGUGGGGUGGCCUUGCAUGUUCUUGCUUUGCUCACAGAACUAACUCAAAACACAUCUAUCCAUAGUUUAAGCAAAGUGAGAAGCUGAAAACUUUUCACUAAUGUUUCAGUUGGGCUGUUUGCUGAUUUUGAUUAUUUUUAGAAGAAAAAAUAUGACAGUCUAGUUCUUCUUCUUAGACAGACCAAAACAAACGAUGGAACCUCCAGGAUUUUUUCUCAGAACAGAAACUGUGUCCUGGAUGUAUGACAGACUAGGCAUGUUCUCUUUGGAUAACUCUUUUCAUUAAUUCAAGAGCAAACAUCAACCCUGUCUUACAAAAGCUUGUUUUGGAGCAGAAGAGACCCUCCAGCCCUCUCUAAGCUUUGGUAAAUGCAUGCAGGAUUAAGACACGCUGUAUUUCUAGUACUGAAACUCAAGGUGGGUCUCAGCUCAAGCAUAUGCUGAUAGUCAAUCACUAAGAAGAGGCACCUAAUAAACCACUGGGAGCAAGAUUCCAUGUCGCCCUCUUCCUCCUCCAGGUCUUUAUGUACAUAGCUGUUUUCUGUAGGAGCAGAGUCUUAGAGGUCAUGUUGUUCCAGCCAUUUAUACCUCAAUGUUCUGUAUGUCCUUUGAAAUGUUCUGUUCUUUGUUACACGCAGCUUCUGACCUGUUUCCAUCAGCACAUUUGGUGUAGGAAUCCGCUCUCUGAGUCUCAGUAAAUAUGACCUAUCCGUACUUUUAAGAUGAGUAUAUAUUUAUUUAACCUCAAGUUCUCCCAUCAGCUUUUCUACCCUGAAACCAUUUCUCAGGGGAUGAAGUGCAAAAAGCAGCCACUAGUUUCUGUAAAUGGCUGGAAUUGGCCUGAGGAAUUUGGUAAAACUUGGGGGAUUUGAAUAUAAAGGGUACAGUGUGUUUUUUGUUUCUGAUUUUUCUGUCUCUGCAUUCAUCUAUAAUUUGUGGAAUCAAAGUUAAGUCAUGUUAUGCCACUGACAUUUUUGUAUGGUGUAAUCACUCCUGAUUGCUGUUUCUGCCCUUUGCUAGCUGGUUUCUGUCUGCAGCACAGCUCCCUUGAGAGACCACAGUUUAAAAGAAAAAAAGAAAAGAGUACCAGAGUACCAGCAGGGCACUUUAUUUUCAUCUCUGAAUGUUUGAGUAAAACAGGUCUCCCAUGGAAAAUGAAGCCCAAUGAAUGCUGAGAUAAGUUAACAAUAUAAAUACGGCACCUUGUCAUCUCUCUUACUUUGGAAGCAACAGAAACUUGCUCUCAUCAGCAAGUCUUAAGAAGCAUUGGUUGCUGGAAGGAAAACAGUCCGCAUUCGAGUAAGGUAUGUGCCCUACCAUGAAGGGAAAUAAAGGCAUGAUUCACAUGAAAUCUGUCCUGUUUCUGCGUUGUACCAUGUGAGCCUCUCUUGACCU